GAUGAACGCUGGCGGCGUGCUUAACACAUGCAAGUCGAACGGGAAACCUUUUAUUGAAGCUUCGGCAGAUUUAGCUGGUUUCUAGUGGCGGACGGGUGAGUAACGCGUGGGUAACCUGCCUUAUACAGGGGGAUAACAACCAGAAAUGGUUGCUAAUACCGCAUAAGCGCACAGGACCGCAUGGUCCGGUGUGAAAAACUCCGGUGGUAUAAGAUGGACCCGCGUUGGAUUAGCUAGUUGGCAGGGUAACGGCCUACCAAGGCGACGAUCCAUAGCCGGCCAGAGAGGGUGAACGGCCACAUUGGGACUGAGACACGGCCCAGACUCCUACGGGAGGCAGCAGUGGGGAAUAUUGCACAAUGGGGGAAACCCUGAUGCAGCGACGCCGCGUGAAGGAAGAAGUAUCUCGGUAUGUAAACUUCUAUCAGCAGGGAAGAUAGUGACGGUACCUGACUAAGAAGCCCCGGCUAACUACGUG
rnacentral:rRNA from 1 species